rnacentral:lncRNA from 1 species
AUUUUUGUGACUUACAAACUCAUUAAUAUUGUCAUUAAAGAUAAGAAAGGUUUUCUACUGAAGCCUGGUUCAUUUCUGUGACCACUGGUUUCUGAACAAAGAAGCCUCAUUGACCAUGGGGUAUCCUCAAUCAUCAUCAUUUGAAUCUUGUAUAUUUCAGCUCCUGAAGGCAGGAUUCAUAAAGACACUUUUAAAUUGACACCUCACUCUCAGCUUUGUAUACCCUAUACUGUCAGUUUAUACAUUUAACCUUUAUAUAAUUUGCAUUUAUAAGUAGUUUCCAUGUUAAAGUUUAGAAGUUUAGAAGAUCUCCUUGAAACAUAUAUGGAAAAGGUUUGAAAAUGUUACCUUUCUGUUGUUGUUUAUGUGUUUUUAGAGAAACAACAUUUCACUCUGUGGCCGAGGCUGGAGUAAAGUGGCACAAUCACCUUGCUGCAACCUUGACCUCCUAGGCUCAAGCAGUCCUUCCAACUCAACUUCCCAAGUAGCUGAGACUACAGAGGGGACUCAAGAUGGCGCUGUGAGAACAACCCAGGAUUGGAGCCCGCGUUGAAUGCGAACAAAACCGCGAUUUCAAACUAUCCCGGGCAGACGGUCCGAGACGCUCUGUGGGGGAGGGGCGUCCACCACUACAGAGGCAACCUGCCCCAACUGAUAUACACGCCCACUGCUGAGGCAGCCAGCCGUUGCCGAGGCAACCCGCCCCAACUGAGAUACACGCCCACUGCUGACGCAGCCAGCCGUUGCCGAGGCAACC